rnacentral:rRNA from 1 species
GACGUAGGGUGCAAGCGUUGUCCGGAUUUACGGGGCGUAAAGAGCGCGUAGGCGGCUCGUUAAGUGAGAAGUGAAAGCUCUGGGCUCAACCCAGAAACCGCUUUUCAUACUGGCAAGCUGGAGUGAUGCAGAGGUGGAUAGAAUUCCCGGUGUAGCGGUGAAAUGCGUUGAUAUCGGGAGGAAUACCCGUGGCGAAGGCGGUCCACUGGGCAUCAACUGACGCUGAGGCGCGAAAGCGUGGGUAGCAAACAGG